UCAUCCCAUGUAGACAGGAGGAACAGCAAAAAAUAAAUGCAAGUCCUUUUGAUUCUUUGUCUCCUUCAAGAAUACAAAUACAAAUAGGAGCACUGGUGAAGGGCAAAAAGAUUCAUGGUGCAAUCCUGCACUCCAGAAGUGGGCUCUGUCUGGUUCUCCAGAACUCGGUUGGCAGCAAAUAUCAUUAGCAACGUUGUGGGGGAUGAUGGCAGGUCCCCUCCCAGGAUACUUGCGGGAACCACAACUUGGCCACAACUACCUGUUAUAAACCAGGAAGCAGUUGUCAGGAGACAGGCCUGGUCUGGCUCAUCUUUCCGCCUCGUCGCCGCUUUUCUCGCACCGGAUCGGCUUCCACGGUUUCCCUCCACUCCGGUGUUUGCUUGCGAAUUCGUAGCUGUGCCACUGGUUCCUUCAGCCAAGCAGCGGGUCCAACUCUGUGGACUACAAAAGAAGAAGAAGAAAGCCCAGCAGCCUUCGGCCAAGGCUCAUGGCCUGGAGAAGUUACUUCUUGGACUACAGCCCUCAAGCCCCAGCCAACACGGCUGGUGGGACAAUGUAACUUUCCCAAGAUCUGGAGUUUAUUUAGUUCCGAGAAUAAUAUACAUAGGCAGAAUGGGGCUGCCUGUCCUGCAUUUUUUUUAAUAUUGGAAAAAAGAGAUCUAAUCCAUAAAUCACUGCGCGGGGCCCCUUCCUGCAGCAAAUAACGUGGCAAUGCAACAUCUCGCAGAUGAACGUAACAAGAUGGGUUUGUUGCAGAGUGGAAACAGACCCUGGCCCCGCUCCCUCUUGAAACUGUAUCUGUGCUACGCGGAUACAUCGGUUUAAUCCCACUUUAACUGGUAUGACUCCAUCCUAAGGAAUCUGAGAUUUGUAAUUUGAUGAGGUACUUAGAAUGUAUCUCAGGGGAGGUCAAACUGCAAUUCCCAGAAUUUCGUAUUUUGUACGUAAUAUGGAGCCCAUGGUCGUUCAAGUGAAGGAAGUGCCCCAACUGCCUAAAAGAGUGGAGUUUCCUCUUCUUGGUUUUCCGACCAAGUAAAACACUUAUUUAUGUCCUUUUCCCCCCAUAGAAGACUCAAGGCGGAGGACAACCAUCGAAAAAGAAAAAGUGCAAGAGCCGCUGGAGAAGAAAAAAACUGGAGAGAAAGAACAACCAACCAGCCAACCUCGUGGAAGUGCAAUCUAUGCAGCGAAACAGUCGCGACCCGUUUUGAGCCUAGACCACAGCUUUGAACUGGCUACCGAGGGGUAAUGGUCCAGGCAGGGGCAAAUCCCUCUUUCCUUUCCUUCCUUCCUUGAUGGCAGUCAGCGGGUGCCGGUGCGUUUUUAGGAUCUCAGCAGGGCACCCAGCACCUCCAGGGUCAGAAUGGCCUGGCAGAAGGUCCUAAUGUUCAUACCCGUGUAAGCUGAUCUAGGUUUGCGCCCUGCCCUUCCUUGUUGAUCUGAAUCAAGGAGGGCCUCCUUUAUUCCAGCGGAGGUUGCUAGCUGGAGCCCUAAAACUUCACUCCACGCUUCUCAUUGAGCUGUGUGUCCGGGAAAGGUCAUGCUACAAUAAACCUCUUCUUUGUUAUUUAGGCGCGCCA
rnacentral:lncRNA from 1 species